UACGUAGGGUGCGAGCGUUAAUCGGAAUUACUGGGCGUAAAGCGCACGUAGGCGGGUUGUUAAGUCAGGGGUGAAAUCCUGGAGCUCAACUCCAGAACUGCCUUUGAUACUGGCAACCUAGAGACUGGAAGAGGUUAGUGGAAUUCCCAGUGUAGAGGUGAAAUUCGUAGAUAUUGGGAAGAACACCAGUGGCGAAGGCGGCUAACUGGUCCAGCACUGACGCUGAGGUGCGAAAGCGUGGGGAGCAAACAGG
rnacentral:rRNA from 1 species